rnacentral:rRNA from 1 species
AGCGAACGCUGGCGGCAGGCUUAACACAUGCAAGUCGAGCGGGCAUAGCAAUAUGUCAGCGGCAGACGGGUGAGUAACGCGUGGGAACGUACCUUUUGGUUCGGAACAACUGAGGGAAACUUCAGCUAAUACCGGAUAAGCCCUUACGGGGAAAGAUUUAUCGCCCAAAGAUCGGCCCGCGUCUGAUUAGCUAGUUGGUGAGGUAAUGGCUCACCAAGGCGACGAUCAGUAGCUGGUCUGAGAGGAUGAUCAGCCACAUUGGGACUGAGACACGGCCCAAACUCCUACGGGAGGCAGCAGUGGGGAAUAUUGGACAAUGGGCGCAAGCCUGAUCCAGCCAUGCCGCGUGAGUGAUGAAGGCCCUAGGGUUGUAAAGCUCUUUUGUGCGGGAAGAUAAUGACGGUACCGCAAGAAUAAGCCCCGGCUAACUUCGUG